ACACAUGCAAGUCGAGGGGCAGCACAGGUAGCAAUACCGGGUGGCGACCGGCGCACGGGUGAGUAACGCGUAUGCAACUUGCCUAUCAGAGGGGGAUAACCCGGCGAAAGUCGGACUAAUACCGCAUGAAGCAGGGGCCCCGCAUGGGGAUAUUUGCUAAAGAUUCAUCGCUGAUAGAUAGGCAUGCGUUCCAUUAGGCAGUUGGCGGGGUAACGGCCCACCAAACCGACGAUGGAUAGGGGUUCUGAGAGGAAGGUCCCCCACAUUGGUACUGAGACACGGACCAAACUCCUACGGGAGGCAGCAGUGAGGAAUAUUGGUCAAUGGGCGUAAGCCUGAACCAGCCAAGUCGCGUGAGGGAUGAAGGUUCUAUGGAUCGUAAACCUCUUUUAUAAGGGAAUAAAGUGCGGGACGUGUCCCGUUUUGUAUGUACCUUAUGAAUAAGGAUCGGCUAACUCCGUGCCAGCAGCCGCGGUAAUACGGAGGAUCCGAGCGUUAUCCGGAUUUAUUGGGUUUAAAGGGUGCGUAGGCGGCCUUUUAAGUCAGCGGUGAAAGUCUGUGGCUCAACCAUAGAAUUGCCGUUGAAACUGGGGGGCUUGAGUAUGUUUGAGGCAGGCGGAAUGCGUGGUGUAGCGGUGAAAUGCUUAGAUAUCACGCAGAACCCCGAUUGCGAAGGCAGCCUGCCAAGCCAUGACUGACGCUGAUGCACGAAAGCGUGGGGAUCAAACAGGAUUAGAUACCCUGGUAGUCCACGCAGUAAACGAUGAUCACUAGCUGUUUGCGAUACACUGUAAGCGGCACAGCGAAAGCGUUAAGUGAUCCACCUGGGG
rnacentral:rRNA from 1 species